AAGACCUUACUUGAAUAGGAUCUGUUCUAUAGGCUCGUACCGCUGCAUCCUUUACCAAUAAGGAGGGAAGCACUUAAGUCUGGUUGACGCAUUCUGACCUCUGGGCCAGAGCGUGAUUAACGGCCAGGAUUUCCCGAUGGGGCAAGGAUCGUUCCUGCCUGGCUUGCCUGUGCAGGGUGGCCCAGAUGUUGUCUGACAGACU
rnacentral:snoRNA from 1 species